ACACAAACCAACUAAGAGAGAUUAGUUCAACACAGAGAGAGAGGACAACAUCAAGUUUUCAGAGCCAGUCAGUUCAGCAAGAAAUGAGGUCAUUUCCUGGGUUUUUCCGAGAGGAGCGUAGAGGGAAAAGCUGUUUUGCACCAUAUAAGUGGAAAUGUAAAAGCUUAUUAAUGUAUUUUUACCUGCUGGACAAACAGCAUGAAAAAACACCAAAAGGAGAGGCAGAAGUACAUCUCACUAUGGCUGGACUUGAAAGACAGCAGUUAAAUGUGCAAGAAAAUUUCCCCCAUUCAGAGGUAUGAUUAAAGUUCCAUGCCCUGUUAUUUUGUAUUUCUGUAUUUGUUCCAAAAUUUUAAUGUAUUAAUUAGGGAUGCUCGUUUCGGUUAAUUUUGCUAACCGACAACCGUCGCUCAUUAAUCGGUUAUUAACGGUUAACUGGUCAGAUUACAAUUAAUUUUAUAUUAAACAAAUUGACGUGUCUAUUUUGUGUCUGACACAUUAAAUAAUGCAUUUUAAAAUACUAAUUUAUUUUUAUAUGCUAGUGUAACCCAGAUUACUGAAGGGUUAUAUUUGUACAUUUAUAAAAUAAUAUAAAUGAUCAGGGGAUAAAACAACAUAUAACUGUGGAUUCAUUGUUCUAAAAUGUUCUUAAUAAGAAAUAAAUUGUUUAAAAAUAAUAAUGUGAAAUAUUCACAUGUUAUUGGUUUAGCCAAUCGGUGAUGUGUGGGAGGGAUUUGCGCUUGCUGACGCAGUGGGAAGAGACCGCCAGACUGUGGAGGAAGAGAGAGUGAGAUCGCUAGAUUUGAUGAUUUAAACUGUGAAAUCAGAUUAUAACUUUGAAACUAGUUUGAGAAACUUACAAAAAGCUUUCAUAGAGAAGUAUUUGAAGAGGAUUCAGUCGUUAAAUUGUUCCUGUGACGAUCGAUGGGAAAAUUGCAUCAUUGUGUUGUUGAGGAGUGACUAUAUGGACAUGACACAAAAUAGUUUCACCACGGACACGAAGAGUACGAAUCAAACAGCGACAGUCCACUGUCAAAAUACAUCACCGCGGUCACAGGCAUUAAUAAACGAGCCAGAGUCAUCGAACACACCAGUGCGCUUGCGUGAUGAGAUCCUGAAUCCUGACUGAAGGAAGCCCGCCGAACAAAAUGUCUGGGCAGCUCCAACACACCGUCUCAGGUUCCAUUUGGUGAAAUAAUAUCUGCUGCUCAAAGCCUGGUGUCGAGGCUCACCAACACCCUAAGAUCACCAGAGAACACAAACCAACUAAGAGAGAUUAGUUCAACACAGAGAGAGAGGACAACAUCAAGUUUUCAGAGCCAGUCAGUUCAGCAAGAAAUGAGGUCAUUUCCUGGGUUUUUCCGAGAGGAGCGUAGAGGGAAAAGCUGUUUUGCACCAUAUAAGGGGCAAUGUAAAAGCUUAUUAAUGUAUUUUUACCUGCUGGACAAACAGCAUGAAAAAACACCAAAAGGAGAGGCAGAAGUACAUCUCACUAUGGCUGGACUUGAAAGACAGCAGUUAAAUGUGCAAGAAAAUUUCCCCCAUUCAGAGGUAUGAUUAAAGUUCCAUGCCCUGUUAUUUUGUAUUUCUGUAUUUGUUCCAAAAUUUUAAUGUAUUAAUUAGGGAUGCUCGUUUCGGUUAAUUUUGCUAACCGACAACCGUCGCUCAUUAAUCGGUUAUUAACGGUUAACUGGUCAGAUUACAAUUAAUUUUAUAUUAAACAAAUUGACGUGUCUAUUUUGUGUCUGACACAUUAAAUAAUGCAUUUUAAAAUACUAAUUUAUUUUUAUAUGCUAGUGUAACCCAGAUUACUGAAGGGUUAUAUUUGUACAUUUAUAAAAUAAUAUAAAUGAUCAGGGGAUAAAACAACAUAUAACUGUGGAUUUAUUGUUCUAAAAUGUUCUUAAUAAGAAAUAAAUUGUUUAAAAAUAAUAAUGUGAAAUAUUCACAUGUUAUUGGUUUAGCCAAUCAGUGAUGUGUGGGAGGGAUUUGCGCUUGCUGACGCAGUGGGAAGAGACCGCCAGACUGUGGAGGAAGAGAGAGUGAGAUCGCUAGAUUUGAUGAUUUAAACUGUGAAAUCAGAUUAUAACUUUGAAACUAGUUUGAGAAACUUACAAAAAGCUUUCAUAGAGAAGUAUUUGAAGAGGAUUCAGUCGUUAAAUUGUUCCUGUGACGAUCGAUGGGAAAAUUGCAUCAUUGUGUUGUUGAGGAGUGACUAUAUGGACAUGACACAAAAUAGUUUCACCACGGACACGAAGAGUACGAAUCAAACAGCGACAGUCCACUGUCAAAAUACAUCACCGCGGUCACAGGCAUUAAUAAACGAGCCAGAGUCAUCGAACACACCAGUGCGCUUGCGUGAUGAGAUCCUGAAUCCUGACUGAAGGAAGCCCGCCGAACAAAAUGUCUGGGCAGCUCCAACACACCGUCUCAGGUUCCAUUUGGUGAAAUAAUAUCUGCUGCUCAAAGCCUGGUGUCGAGGCUCACCAACACCCUAAGAUCACCAGAGAACACAAACCAACUAAGAGAGAUUAGUUCAACACAGAGAGAGAGGACAACAUCAAGUUUUCAGAGCCAGUCAGUUCAGCAAGAAAUGAGGUCAUUUCCUGGGUUUUUCCGAGAGGAGCGUAGAGGGAAAAGCUGUUUUGCACCAUAUAAGGGGCAAUGUAAAAGCUUAUUAAUGUAUUUUUACCUGCUGGACAAACAGCAUGAAAAAACACCAAAAGGAGAGGCAGAA